rnacentral:lncRNA from 13 species
AAAGUACUGUAAUUUGUUAACGGUUCACCCGAUAUCUAUGAAAAUACCCUCAUGUCAGCCUGUUAGAGUGCGCUCAGUGGCAUUUCAUUGGAUAUGCAUCAUCCAUUGAAGGAAUGUGUCUCACGAUCAGUCUUAUCUAGUGUUUUGUCUGAGGGGCAUCCAGUCCCCCACUUACAAAACAGCCUACAUAUGCCUUGAAUCCCAUGUUGCUGAAAUAGGGGGCUGAGCGUUACGGGCUGAUAACAGGCUGCAGACUGAGACUCCCUCUCCCUCAGCCCCCCACCCCCUCAGCCCUGAGCUGCACUCUGAUUGGUUGAGAGGAGUUCCAGCACCUUCAUGCCGGGGCACAGCGGAUGUUGUUACCUUGUUCCCAGACUCCUGUGCUCCCUCCCCUUUCCCAAAUCAUCAGAUUGAUUUAUCCUAGAGUGGCGGAGUGCGGCUCAAUUGGGUCCAUAUGAGGACGGUGCUGAGUGGUCAUCUAAAACAGUAAUUUUCAGUAGGCUCCUUAUUCUCGGGCCAAACAACCAAAAACACCCAAUUUCCUACCUUGCUGUUCAUAGAAGUGACAGAUGGCGAAAACCUGGAAAAGCUUUCUUAUAAUCGUUAGCAACUGACAUUUUGAACACAAUACUUUAUUUUGGUCUCUCCCUCUCACUCCCUCUCUCUAUUUUGUUCUUUUCUUUCAAGGUGAAGAAUCCAGGGAGGAAAAUUGUGUUGGUGGAAUAUGGCCUAAAUCUAUCCAAGUUCAGCUUCUCCUCCUUGAUUUGGCCCAGGAUGUGAAUUCAAUACACAAAUAUUUGCCAGCUGUUCCUUGCAGGGCCACGCUGACUGAGUUAGUGCCUGUGCUGUUAUGGGUUCAUUGGCCUGGUAUGUGGCAGGAAUCUUUGGAUCAAGAGGUCCAGAGUUUUGGGAGGGAGGCCGGGCAGGCGGAGCUGUCGUUUGUCUUUAUCAGAUACAAUGAAGAUAAGAAGGUCCUGCUCUCAUGUACCAUCUGUUUCUGCUGGAGACCUCCGGGGCCCUAACCUAACCACACACACUGCAUGAAGAUGGUGCCCUUACCCACUGUGUAUGUGUGUGUGUGCGUGCGUGCGUGCGUGCGCGUGUGUGUGUGUGCUUGUGUGUGUGUGUCUUUGUGUGUGUCUUUGUGUGUGUGUGUGUGUGU